AAGGAAAGGAGGAGGGAGAGGAAGAGAAAGAAGAAGAGAAGGAGUAGGGAGAGGAAGAAGAGAGGAGGUGGAGGAGCGUGAAGGAGUAGGGAGAGGUAGAGAAAGAAGAAGAGAAGGAGUAGGGAGAGGUAGAGGAAGAAGAGGAAGAGAAGGAGUAGGGAGAGGUAGAGGAAGAAGAGGAAGAGAAGGAGUAGGGAGAGGUAGAGGAAGAAGAGGAAGAGAAGGAGUAAGGAGAGGUAGAGGAAGAAGAGGAAGAGAAGGAGUAGGGAGAGGUAGAGGAAGAAGAGGAAGAGAAGGAGUAGGGAGAGGUAGAGGAAGAAGAGGAAGAGAAGGAGUAGGGAGAGGUAGAGGAAGAAGAGGAAGAGAAGGAGUAGGGAGAGGAAGAAGGGAGGAGGAGCGAGAAGGAGUAAGGAGAGGUAGAGGAAGAAGAGGAAGAGAAGGAGUAGGGAGAGGUAGAGGAAGAAGAGGAAGAGAAGGAGUAGGGAGAGGAAGAAGAGAGGAGGAGAAGCGUGAAGGAGUAGGGAGAGGUAGAGGAAGAAGAGGAAGAGAAGGAGUAGGGAGAGGAAGAAGAGAGGAGGUGGAGCGUGAAGGAGUAGGGAGAGGUAGAGGAAGAAGAGGAAGAGAAGGAGUAGGGAGAGGAAGAAGAGAGGAGGAGGAGGAGGGAGAGGAAGAAGAGAGGAGGUUGAGGAGUUGGGAGAGGAAGAAGAGAGGAGGAGUAGGGAGAGGAAGAGGAAGAAGAGGAGGAGAAGGAGUAGGGAGAGGAAGAAGAGAGGUGGUGGAGCGUGAAGGAGUAGGGAGAGGAAGAAGAGGAGAGGAAGGGAGGGAGGAG